ACCUGGAACCUGAAGACACCCCACUUCCUGCGAUCUUGGAAGCUAAGCAGGGUUGGACCUGUUUAGAACUUGAUUGGAAGUCCAUCAGGGAAUGACAAGAAAUUCCAGGUC
rnacentral:rRNA from 1 species